GUUUCCGGUGCAUAAUAUUCUCAGACGACACGAUGAUAGUGCAUGUUGAAUAUCAUGAGGAGACAGACAGCACCCUAUUACGAUUUGGGUGGUGGCUAAUCUUUCCUCACCUGCUGGAAGAGCUCACCUCUGCAGUGCUGUUAGACAUUUGAAGCACAGUCAUACCCUGAGAGUUGGUAUUGUCCCAUUACCAAGUUGCAUGAAGGCAGCCAUAUUCCACUGGCCAUCCACACAGUACUGGUAACUCGGGUCCCACACACUGCCAGGAGCUUUGUCACCUGAACCUAGCUGCUGAAAGAGGACAACAUACAUGCCAUACUGAAAGGGACAAAGUCACUCAGUGACUUGGAAGUUCGUGGUAUGGUAAUGGAGGUGUACCUUAAGGCCCUGGGCGUACAGACGGUAGCUUUCCUGCAGUUCCACUCAGCCUUCAGCACCCAAGUCCUGGGCUUUCAGCCAGGCGCCCGAGGAGUUAUAUUGAAUGGAAGAAUAAUUGGUCCGUUAAAGGAAGCAUUCAUAGAGGAUGACAAAAAUCUACUGGAAAAAUAUACACUGAAGUCGUCUGCUGAGAAAAUUGUUCAGAUGCUGACGGGAUUUACAGAGGACACAAAGAGGUACAGUGAGUGUUGAAGUGAUAUAACAUGGGGCUUAAAGGGACAAAAAAUAGGAUCUGAAAUGCUUUCUUAGUGCAUGGAUUGCUUCUUUUUGAACUUAUCUGAGAACAAUUGAUAUAUUUAAAACAUAAAAUGGCAGAUAAAUGGCCUUAAUCAGUAUCGCAAAAAAGAAUCAUAUUCACCGUCCCCUUUCAAACCCCGGGCGUCAGCCAUCUUGACACAGUUUGAAAUAACGCGGCUUCUCGACUCAGAUACGAGAUGUAAACAAUGCAGACAGCAUGUCUGACUCAAAGGUGAGCAUGGGCGUGAAGAGGAAGAGUAAUUGUUCACAGAAUCCUUGCAGGUAAGCGAGUUAUAUUCACUAUAAGUGAUUUAAAAUAGGAAGGUGGCAGUGGAAAUCAAAAUGUCUGAUAGUGAAAGUUAAAAAGCGUAGAUAACUGCUAAUAAACGUUUCCUCGGGUAACGCACUCGCAGUCCCCAAACCACUCGCACUGGGUACGUACUACUAGUUACAUGAAGUUAGGUAGUGCACUUAGCCCCUGUAAAGCAGGGUUCUGUAAAGCAGGAGGAAUACCCUUUUUCUGCCCAAUGUGGUCAUCUACCAGUACUUGCAGACUAACCUCACACCAUAUUCCCGCAGGGGAAUCCCAUGAGAUAUACAAUCCUUUCAGAGGAGGAACUGGGUGAUACACCCCUUCAAGCAUGAGUGGAGAGAUUGGUGCCAAGUUAUAUCUGGAAAACUCAUACCAGGAAGCACUCCAAUCUUACAAUACUGCAUCACUUCAAUGUUGGCGUGACAAGUUGUGUAAAAAGACUGCUACAAAAGAAUUUGCAUUGAUGACCACAUAAUCCACCACCUUUUACCAAAACCAAGUGAACAGUUUUAUAUUAUAAUGCCCAUGUACAUGUAUUUAAGUGACAAGACUGAGAUCAGCGAGAGCCUCAAGGACUUUUAUUUUCUGGGCAUUGUCAACUAUUCAAUAAUUUUAUAAUUUUGCCAAAUACAUCCAAAGAUUCAAUUCUUGUGCAAUUCUUGAAAAUAUUUUUUUAGAAUAUAUUUUAAUGUCUAACAUGUUUUUCUAAAAACUAGCCCUUUAGUAUAUUAACAUUAUGUACCAUCCAACUAUUAUUAUUACUUAACAUAU
rnacentral:lncRNA from 1 species